GGCGGAGAGCUGGGAUGGAGCGCGCCUUGGCUCGCUGGCCUUGGCCGCUGCUCCUCCGGAGAACCGGGGCGCCCACGCGAGAAUCUACCCAUCAGGUUCGCUCUUCGGGGUGACGUCACCAUUCACCGCCUUGUCUUCGAGGACCACCUGUUGAUGCCCCGCCACUGCCGAAGUGCUUGCUGCUCCUCUCCACCUUAUGAGGACAGAGGAGUGCCGACCCUGGAUUCCCACCAGCACGCCGGGCAGCCCCCGGCAGAGCCCCCCCGGAUCAGGACGCCGGAGGCUGAAGAGAACCAGAACUGACCAGCCAGCUGUUCCUCUCGGCGAAAGGCUUAAACCAAUGCCCUAGUGAGGGGGCAUUGGUCAUCGCCCCCUGGCCUUUGCUAUGCUUGUGCCUCUUGCUAGAGUACUUUCCUGUAAGUCUCUGCUUGUGUUAACGUGCCAGCGACCUGGAGUGUUUCCCUCCCGAGAAGGGGUCCGUCUUUCUUAGCCGACCCUGUUGUUGCCCCAUCGUGUCCUGAAUGGAAGGAUCCCUUUGGGAACUUCUCAGGAGGGGGACCUGGGCCAAGGGCUCCACCAGCAUCUCUCUGGCAGUUCCAAAGCCCGGGGGGGCUUCUGGAAUGAGCAUGAGCCCUGACACCAUGGGCAUCCCUGCCUCUUUGGGGACCGCCCCGUCCUUUCUGGGGAAUGGUGACGAGAAGAGCGGCCUCCCAGGGUUGUUGUGAGUAUCCAAUGAGCCAAAGUAGCCUGGGGCAGCAGGGCUGGGCAUCCACGAGGCGGUCAACAAGCGUUUGUUGGAAGCUCGGUAGGUAGGUCAGUCCAUCCCCACAUGUCUCCCUUGUCCUAACGCCUCUUGUUUGUUCUCCCACAGCAUGUCGACGGCCCCUUCCACGGGGCUCUCCUCGCACAGGUAGGGGCGCCGCCAAGAAGGGUGAUGGGCUGACUGGAAUAGGAGCGUGAAUCAUGCAUGCGGCCAUUUCCAGAGCACUUUCUAUGUUGUUUGAAUGUUAUUUCUACGUCAAACAUACGUGUGGCGAGGCAGUCUCAUUCACAGAUGAGAAUGAAUUCAGCAUUGACAGCUAAUUUUAAAAAGGCGGGUGGGGACUGAGCGUCCCUCCUACGGGACAGGAUUUAUUCACAUUUACAGUGAGGGUGCUGAGGCUGGAGGAAUGUAAGUAUUUUGUCACAUUGCUGGCAAGCCAAGGGGUCAGAGUUGGACCCUGGGUGACAUUGGAGCUACCCGUUACCCCCCUGGCCCAGAGUUAAGACUGAGAGCUUUUGAUUUCCAAUCAAGCAUUUGACAGUGGGACAGUCUGUUUGAACUCCUCGCUGCCCAGGGUGGUCUUGGGGGUCUGGGUGGCCCCAAUGCCGCUACCAUGUGCUGGCUGCACCUCUCAAUAACGGUGUGACCUUCCACAAGUCGCUUAACUUCUCCACGUCUCAGUUCCUUUCAUGGUCUAAAUGAGGAUUAAAAAAAAAAAAAAAAUCCAACAAAAAACCACCCGCCUUUAGCUACCCCACAGGGUGCUUUUGAAGACCAAAUGAUGUAACGACUAUGAAAGUGCUUUGUAAAUUGCUGUGGAAAUUGCAGGGUCCUUAACAGGCCGAGCUUGUCCCUCAUUGUUCGCAUGCCCAGCCCUGUUCGCCCUCAGCCAUAAUUGGGCUAGCACCCAGUAGGUGCUGUGAGUGUUUGCGCUCAAUAAAUGAAUUUCAAAAUGAAUAAAAACAGAAUUAAUCCAACAAACCCUUUCUGCAACACCGACAAUAUGCCCCGCACCCCAGGCCUGGUAUGUGAUACAAAGAUGAUGCAAACAGUCUCUUGGAAGCUAAUUGGGACUCUCAUUUGACCAGCCCUUUUUUCCUCGUCCCCUUUUAAGCCACCAGUUUUGUCCAGACAAGACAAAACAACUCAGGCCGCUUUGAGAAGCCCAGCUUGGUGUGGACAAUGGCUCCCGGGCCUCUGAAAGGGCCUGAUUGGAUUAUAUGGCAAAUGAAGGUGGAAGGGUGACUUGGAAGGUGACGAAUGAAGUGGGCGGGGAUCUGCUUUGAGUUAAUCCAGGCUAUUAGGCGGGAACCUUUUGUCUUCCAGAGGCUGGCGGGGGCUUUUACCAGUGCUUUUUACCUCCUUGCCGCGAGGACGCGGCAUUCGUGGCCAGUGACAUCCAGGCCCCGGGGAGACUGGCGUGGGCUGUAAGAGCUAGCCUCUCACCACCAGCGAGCGAUUGCAGUGCACGUUUAUGUCGCCCUUGGCUGGUAGCAGGGGCCUCUUUGCGACUGUCAAUUCAUUGGAACCUCACAACUCCCUGUCCCGACCCGGGGCUGGCCUGCCUCCUCCCGGGGGACAGAGGCUGUCAAGCGGCCCUUCAGAUUGGGGUCCCGUGACACAUUCGCACCCUCAUUGCCUCUUGCUUUGGAAAGGAAGAGGCGUCUUCUGCACCGGUCACUCCUGUCUCCCCUCCAGCCACCAAGUUAUACCCUCCGAUUUCCUAACUGUUCUCUCCGCAGCCUGAGCCUCCCGGGCUCCUCCUGUCUCCUCCUUUCUGGCCACUACCGUCUCUCUCUUUCCUUUCACAGCCAAGCUUCUCGAAAGGCCUGUCUCCACUUGCUGUCUUCCUUCCUCACCUCCAUUUCCUCUUCAACCCACUGCUUCCUGCACUCUCUGCUCCGUCGAGCGGCUCUCGUUAAGGGUUGGCCCCUCCCUGGUCGGAUCGGCUGAAGAACUGGACAGAAGAGGCAGAAGAGCCCCCAGAGGACCACCGCCCCGGACCACGCCCUCCUUCGGACGGCCACCUGGCAUCCCCUGCCUGCCCUGUCCUCUGCUUCCUGGUUUGGGCCGAAGCUGUCGCCUGGAAUCCUUUGUGGGAAGGGACCUCGGAUGCAGCCCCAGCGCCCUGCCCCUGUAAAACCCCUCCACAGCCACGGGGACGCCCUGCACACAUUCCCACGGGACAGGCUGGACCCAAAGACUCUGGACCCGGCUGCCCCCUGCGAGGAGGGGCGGGCCCUCCUCGGCCUCCCCCGCAGUGGCCGCCACCCUUUGACCGAUGGACUUCACUGACCCAAGGGCCGGACACGCAGGCCUGGCCCUGCCCACCUCACCAACACUGAGACUUAGGGGGGACUUCCCGUGCCUUCGACGUCUGCAUCUGUGAAAUGGGCCCGCACACCUACCUCACAGGGUUGUUGUGAGGGUCCUGUGAUGCGUUUGGAAGGUGCCUGACCCGGGGCCUACACACACCCUGUUGUGCUCUCAAUAAAUGUGCUUUUUGCCUUAACAAA